GUGCUCACUUCAGCAGCACAUAUACUAAAAUUGGAAUGAUGCAGAGAAAAUUAGCAUGGCCCCUGUGCAAGCAUUACAUGCAAAUUCAUGAAGCAUUCCAUAUUAAA
rnacentral:snRNA from 1 species